UGAAGCUAGAGGUGUCAGA
rnacentral:snRNA from 1 species